UACAGAGGUCUCAAGCGUUGUUCGGAUUCAUUGGGCGUAAAGGGUGCGUAGGUGGCGCUGUAAGUCGGGUGUGAAAUUUCGGAGCUUAACUCCGAAACUGCAUUCGAUACUGCCUUGCUCGAGGACUGGAGAGGAGACUGGAAUUCCUGGUGUAGCAGUGAAAUGCGUAGAUAUCAGGAGGAACGCCAAUGGCGAAGGCAAGUCUCUGGACAGUUCCUGACGCUCAUGCACGAAGGCCAGGGGAGCAAACGGG
rnacentral:rRNA from 1 species